AUGAACGCUGGCGGCGUGUUUAAGGCAUGCAAGUCGAGCGACGUAUUCCCGCAAGGGAAUUACGAGCGGCAAACGGGUGAGUAACACAUUGGUAACCUACCUCCAAGUCGAGGACAGCUCGCCGAAAGGCGAAUUAAUACUCGAUGGCAAUGCGGGGACAUAAGUCAUUCGCAUUUAAAGAUUUAUUGCUUGGAGAGGGGCCUAUGUCUGAUUAGCUAGUUGGCGGGGUAAAAGCCCACCAAGGCGAUGAUCAGUAGCAGGCGUGAGAGCGUGACCUGCCUCACUGGGACUGAGACACUGCCCAGACACCUACGGGUGGCUGCAGUCAAGAAUCUUCCCCAAUGGACGAAAGUCUGAGGGAGCGACGCCGCGUGCAGGAUUAAGGCCUUCGGGUCGUAAACUGCUUUUAUAUGGGACGAAUUCGUGACGGUACCAUAUGAAUAAGAGGUUGCUAACUCUGU
rnacentral:rRNA from 1 species